rnacentral:rRNA from 1 species
UCCAGACUCCUACGGGAGGCAGCAGUGGGGAAUAUUGGGCAAUGGGCGCAAGCCUGACCCAGCAAUGCCGCGUGAAGGAAGAAGGCUUUCGGGUUGUAAACUUCUUUGACAGGGGAAGAGCAGAAGACGGUACCCUGAAAACAAGCCACGGCUAACUACGUGCCAGCAGCCGCGGUAAUACGUAGGGGGCAAGCGUUAUCCGGAUUUACUGGGUGUAAAGGGGGCGCAGACGGCGAUGCAAGCCAGGAGUGAAAGCCCGGGGCCCAACCCCGGGACUGCUCUUGGAACUGCGUGGCUGGAGUGCAGGAGGGGCAGGCGGAAUUCCUGGUGUAGCGGUGAAAUGCGUAGAUAUCAGGAGGAACACCGGUGGCGAAGGCGGCCUGCUGGACUGCAACUGACGUUGAGGCCCGAAAGCGUGGGGAGCAAACAGGAUUAGAUACCCGCGUAU